UACGUAGGGUGCAAGCGUUGUCCGGAAUUAUUGGGCGUAAAGAGCUCGUAGGCGGUUUGUCGCGUCUGCUGUGAAAACCUAAGGCUCAACCUUGGGCUUGCAGUGGGUACGGGCAGACUAGAGUGCGGUAGGGGUGACUGGAAUUCCUGGUGUAGCGGUGGAAUGCGCAGAUAUCAGGAGGAACACCGAUAGCGAAGGCAGCUUACUGGGCUGUAACUGACGCUGAGGCACGAAAGUGUGGGGAUCAAACAGG
rnacentral:rRNA from 1 species